AUUACCCACUCCCGGCACGGGGAGGUAGUGACGAAAAAUAACGAUACGGGACUCAUCCGAGGCCCCGUAAUCGGAAUGAGUAUACUCUAAAUCCUUAUACGAGUAUCAAUUGGAGGGCAAGUCUGGUGCCAGCAGCCGCGGUAAUUCCAGCUCCAAUAGCGUAUAUUAAAGUUGUUGCGGUUAAAAAGCUCGUAGUUGGAUCUGUGUCCCGCACCGACGGUUCGCCGCCUGUCGGUGUUCAACCGCCGUGUACGCGGGACGUCCUGCCGGUGGCGGUCCGGCUCUAAGUCGGCACGUAGGGGUCGUCCUUGCUAUGCUUGCGUCGUCCCCGAAGGCCUUCGCGGAUCCGGCCGCCUUUUACAUCCCGUCGCGGUGCUCUUCACCGAGUGUCGAGGCGGGCCGGCACGUUUACUUUGAACAAAUUAGAGUGCUUUAAGCAGGCCCUGUCCCGCCUGUAUGUUGUGUGCAUGGAAUAAUGGAAUAGGACCUCGGUUCUAUUUUGUUGGUUUUCGGAAUCUGAGGUAAUGAUCAAUGGGGACAGGCGGGGGCAUUCGUAUUGCGACGUUAGAGGUGAAAUUCUUGGAUCGUCGCAAGACGGACCGAAGCGAAAGCAUUUGCCAAGUAUGUUCUCGUCGAUCAAGAACGAAAGUUAGAGGUUCGAAGGCGAUCAGAUACCGCCCUAGUUCUAACCAUAAACUAUGCCUGCCAGCGAUCCGCCGAAGUUCCUCCGAUGACUCGGCGGGCAGCUUCCGGGAAACCAGAGCUUUUGGGUUCCGGGGGAAGUAUGGUUGCAAAGCUGAAACUUAAAGGAAUUGACGGAAGGGCACCACCAGGAGUGGAGCCUGCGGCUUAAUUUGACUCAACACGGGAAAACUCACCAGGCCCGGACACCGGAAGGAUUGACAGAUUGAGAGCUCUUUCUUGAUUCGGUGGGUGGUGGUGCAUGGCCGUUCUUAGUUGGUGGAGCGAUUUGUCUGGUUAAUUCCGAUAACGAACGAGACUCUAGCCUACUAACUAGGCGUACCCGGUAUCCACAAUCGUGCUACCGGCGAUCAAAUUUCUUCUUAGAGGGACAGGCGGCUUCUAGCCGCACGAGACUGAGCAAUAACAGGUCUGUGAUGCCCUUAGAUGUCCUGGGCCGCACGCGCGCUACACUGAAGGAAUCAGCGUGUCUUCCCUGUCCGAAAGGACCGGGUAACCCGCUGAACCUCCUUUGUGCUAGGGAUUGGGGCUUGCAAUUGUUCCCCAUGAACGAGGAAUUCCCAGUAAGCGCGAGUCAUAAGCUCGCGUUGAUUACGUCCCUGCCCUUUGUACACA
rnacentral:rRNA from 1 species